rnacentral:tRNA from 1 species
AGGCUUGUAGCUCUAACUGGCAGAGCGCCUGACUCCAAAUCAGGAGGCUAGGAGUUCGAAUCUCUUCAAGCCUG